rnacentral:misc_RNA from 1 species
ACAUGCCAGCGCCAACUGCGGACACUACACUCUCCCAGAGCCGUUUCUCUUACUCUUUUCGCCAGCACGAACACACGCACACACACGUGGUGGUAGCAGCAGCAGACCUUGCCCCCCCCCCAUCCUCCACCCCCUCCCGUACAUCUUUUUCAGCAGGCAAGCCAAGAAAAUGGUGCAGCUUCUCGAGUCCUUCAGGAGCGACAAUGUCUGCCAGUGGAUGGCCGACCACAUCGAGGUGCCAGUUCUCAUUGUGGGCCUGUACAUGGUGAUGGUGUUGUACAUCCCUGACGCGUACAUGAAAAACCGCGAGCCCUUCAAUCUGCGCCAGCUGAACAUGGCGUGGAACCUUCUGCUGACCGUCUUCUCCAUCUGCGGCACCUAUUACUGCCUCCCGCAGCUGUAUCGCACGAUCUUUGUGCCGGAGUUCACCGUGCACGACUACACCAACGGUGGCCAUAUCCAGUGGAAAGGCGGCGUGUACAACGCGUUUUGCUACUGGAACAAGAAUAUCUUCUACGAUGGCCCCGUCGGCGCUUUCUUAUGCCUCUUCGUCCUCAGCAAGAUCCCUGAGAUGCUCGACACCGCCUUCCUUGUCUUUCAGAAGAAGCGCGUCCGCUUCCUCCACUGGUUCCACCACAUGACCACGAUGCUGUACUGCUGGCAUUCGUACGCCAUGAACAUCUCCGGUGCCCUCGUGUUCGCUGGCAUGAACUACGCCAUGCACUCCAUCAUGUACUUCUACUACUUCAUCUGCUCCUGCGGGUACCGGAAGUACGUGCGCCCUAGCGCGCCGGUCAUCACCUUCCUCCAGAUUGCGCAGAUGGUGGUGGGGAUGACCGUGCAGGCCGUGACGCUGUACGUCCUGGGCUUCACGAAUAGGCGUUGUGACUCGAACGCGGCGAAUGCGCGGCUGGGCUUCAUGAUGUAUCUGUCCUACUUCAUCCUCUUCAGCAAGCUCUUCUACGAUAGCUACCUGAAGCCCGCGCCGCCGCACUCGGCUGCCGCGAAGCAUAACGAUGCCACCGCUGUCCCGAACGGCGAGCCGGCAGCAGUGAAAAAGGCUCAGUAGAAGUACAAGGCGGGCCUCCUCGCCUUCCACGCAGCCCCUCUCGCUCGUCCCCAUCGCUGCCUGAGACGGCGUCGUCGUUUUGCGCUCGGCCAGCACAAUUCGCAUGCUCGCGCGCACGCCCAUCCCCCCCCCCGGCUCCUUUGCGUUGUCCACCAUGCUUUUGCCCCUCUUUCGUGUCCUUUUCUGUGUGUUUGCCUCCUCUCGUCUCCGUAGAUUGCGGCAUGCACGGUGCUCACCUCGGCCCUACGCUCCGCACUUAUGCGGAUAACUCAGAGGCGGCACGCGAGGCUCUCCUCCACCAACUGGUCUCUGUCCGCCCCAUCCCUUGCGUGCACACUUUACCCGCACACUCUCGCGGCCAUGGUUUGGAUUCACUUCCCUGGAAUGAGCAGGCGGAGCACGUGUAUGCAAGUCCCACUUGUUCAUCCAGGUUGUCACGCGGGGAAGGGUGUGAUGGCGUGUGAGCCAUGGGGUUUGGAGGGCGACGAAAAAGGUUCAGCCGCUUCUGCAGUGGCAGCCUGUAUCCGUGGCCAGCGGGCAAUAAGGAAACGAGUGACGUGUGAGGGGAGCGACGGACGAGAGACGGGCCAACUCGCCGCGAAGGCGAGCGACGAGGCGAAUCGAAGUUAUGCGUUCCUCAUUUUUGUUUUUCUCUUGUCUUCUCCCUCCCACCCUCUGUCACGCCUCCUUCACGAUAAGGACGUUGAUGCGGACAUCACCCAAAAUUCACUUCUCCCUCUUUCUCUGUUUUCGCUUUUUUGUGUCCGUGAACGUGCCCGGGCGACCUGGAGACACCCCAGCGUGGCAUCUCAGGGUCCGGUGCCCCCCCCCAAAUCACCCCCCACUCAUUGUGGGGAGGAAGCCGAGCAGCCCCUUCGCCGUGCCAGCCACCGCGCCACUUCCGGUGGUGACAGUGUCGAGCACCUACGACGUAAGGGUGUGGGCUCCGUGCGAUUUAGCGCCACUGAGGUUGGCGGUGAGGCCGUGGGAUGGCGUUGCGUUGGAGCUGCAUGCGACCGUGAACACGUUUGCACGAUUCGUAUGAUGGGUAAAGCGUCUGCGCGACUCCAACGUACGCCACGCGGCCAUGGCUGCCUACCGGUGCCGGGAGCCUGUGCCGCGCCGAGAGGGGGGAGGGAUGCAGCACGUGCGCCCGGCAUGAUGGGGGAGCGGCUGUGAGGCGACCUGCGAGGCGGGCGGGUAGCGCUGGAGGCAGGGGCCGUGCUCCGAUGGCCGGGUCGGCAUUUUGCUGUAAGGCGUGUCCACCGGCUGCCUCGCACCACGCGAUGGGGCCUGUGACGGGCCGGGGGAGGGGGUAGGAGUGGCGUGUCACCCUGGUUGCACGGCGGAGAACGGACACGUUGAAAAGGCCGUUCUCCUGUCGGUCUGUCGAGGUGCGCAUCGCUCUAGCGUUCUUUGCGGGUAGCGUGGCGAUGGUGGCGUUGGCGCGGAUGUCUUGCCCCGCCCGUCCCCGCUGUUACGCCGACACGGUCUUGUUUUCUUUUGUUAUUUGCUGGUGUUAUUAUCAUUGUUAUCAUUAUUUGCUCUGGCUGCCUGUUGCGUCUCUCUUUAUAAAGUGUCUUCGCCUUAAUCUCCACCCCUUAUAUAUACCCCAGCUCAUUUUUCUGGAUUCACCAGAUAUCGCCACAUGCGGGUCAGUGUGUGUGUGUGUCUCUCAGGUAUGGCUGCAAAGCCGCUGCUGGCCUCUAUCGAAGGAUUCGGAUUCGCAUUGUUGUUGGUGCCGUUGAUCUGCGUGCCGUACUUCUUCGCUGCGCACACAGAGGUAAACACACGCGCGCAUUUAUUUUUCUUUUAUAUACAGUCUCUCUAUACUACUGCGCUGCCCUGCGGAGGAGGGAGGCGCGGACGGGACGCUUGGCCGGCCCGUCCAACGCGGCGCGCGCGUUUCCUUUUCCCCUGUGUCUUCACGAUCUAUUUAUACACCCCUCAUAUGCGUUUUUUUUUUCUGUUUUGCGCUUUUGUGUUUUUCGAGCAACAACAUGAGAACGUGCCCAUGGCGCAGACGCGCGUGUGCAUACGUGAGCUCCAGGAAGCCAGAGAAAGAGAGGCGGCGGCGGAAGAAGCAGCGACCGAGACUCGGCCGCAGUCGAAGCACUCGUAGCUGCCGCGCGAGCGCGCAGACACGCAUGCACGCAAGGGGUGGUUGUGUUGGUGCACCCCGCUGCUGUGUGCCUGUAUGCGAGUCGUUCUCUCUCUCUGUGGGUGUCUUCCUUGGCUGAAGGGUGGCGCUGUUUGCGCAAGCGCGAUCGCGCACCUUGAGGAAGACGCCAGUGGUGGUGGUUGACGACCUCGCGAAGGACGUCAGAGCAUUGACUUCAUUGAUGCUGUGGCUCUUCUCUUCGUGUCUGUGUGUGUGGCCUCUCCUCCUUUCAUGCUGGCCCUCACGCCGACCCGCUGAUCGGAUAAGACACUCCGUUUGUGUCCCGCCCCUCCAUGUAUGCUGAAGCUGGAGUAGGCGAAGUAGAUGAGAAAGUCUGCGGGUUGCGGCCACGUACGCCACCAUCAGGCCGCCGGCUUACGCACUCUUGCGGUGCCGCCGCGCCCACUUGGGCUCCCUUUUCUCCACGAUGCAAGUUGCUAUGCUCGUUUGUUGGUGUCUUCGGUCGGUCGUUGCUGUUUUGGUAAUGCCGCCCCACUCACCCAGCGACCGCGCCGUGUGUGUCCGUAGAAGCCUGCGUGACCUCCACGGCUUCCACCUCUCCCUGUGUCGUGCGCUUUUGUCGUCUGCCGUCUGCCGUCUGCCGUGCACGUGCCCGGACGACCUGGAGACACCCCAGCGUGGCAUCUCAGGGUCCGGUGCCCCCUCCCCAAAAAUCACCCCCCACUCAUUGUGGGGAGGAAGCCGAGCAGCCCCUUCGCCGUGCCAGCCACCGCGCCACUUCCGGUGGUGACAGUGUCGAGCACCUACGACGUAAGGGUGUGGGCUCCGUGCGAUUUAGCGCCACUGAGGUUGGCGGUGAGGCCGUGGGAUGGCGUUGCGUUGGAGCUGCAUGCGACCGUGAACACGUUUGCACGAUUCGUAUGAUGGGUAAAGCGUCUGCGCGACUCCAACGUACGCCACGCGGCCAUGGCUGCCUACCGGUGCCGGGAGCCUGUGCCGCGCCGAGAGGGGGGAGGGAUGCAGCACGUGCGCCCGGCAUGAUGGGGGAGCGGCUGUGAGGCGACCUGCGAGGCGGGCGGGUAGCGCUGGAGGCAGGGGCCGUGCUCCGAUGGCCGGGUCGGCAUUUUGCUGUAAGGCGUGUCCACCGGCUGCCUCGCACCACGCGAUGGGGCCUGUGACGGGCCGGGGGAGGGGGUAGGAGUGGCGUGUCACCCUGGUUGCACGGCGGAGAACGGACACGUUGAAAAGGCCGUUCUCCUGUCGGUCUGUCGAGGUGCGCAUCGCUCUAGCGUUCUUUGCGGGUAGCGUGGCGAUGGUGGCGUUGGCGCGGAUGUCUUGCCCCGCCCGUCCCCGCUGUUACGCCGACACGGUCUUGUUUUCUUUUGUUAUUUGCUGGUGUUAUUAUCAUUGUUAUCAUUAUUUGCUCUGGCUGCCUGUUGCGUCUCUCUUUAUAAAGUGUCUUCGCCUUAAUCUCCACCCCUUAUAUAUACCCCAGCUCAUUUUUCUGGAUUCACCAGAUAUCGCCACAUGCGGGUCAGUGUGUGUGUGUGUCUCUCAGGUAUGGCUGCAAAGCCGCUGCUGGCCUCUAUCGAAGGAUUCGGAUUCGCAUUGUUGUUGGUGCCGUUGAUCUGCGUGCCGUACUUCUUCGCUGCGCACACAGAGGUAAACACACGCGCGCAUUUAUUUUUCUUUUAUAUACAGUCUCUCUAUACUACUGCGCUGCCCUGCGGAGGAGGGAGGCGCGGACGGGACGCUUGGCCGGCCCGUCCAACGCGGCGCGCGCGUUUCCUUUUCCCCUGUGUCUUCACGAUCUAUUUAUACACCCCUCAUAUGCGUUUUUUUUUCUGUUUUGCGCUUUUGUGUUUUUCGAGCAACAACAUGAGAACGUGCCCAUGGCGCAGACGCGCGUGUGCAUACGUGAGCUCCAGGAAGCCAGAGAAAGAGAGGCGGCGGCGGAAGAAGCAGCGACCGAGACUCGGCCGCAGUCGAAGCACUCGUAGCUGCCGCGCGAGCGCGCAGACACGCAUGCACGCAAGGGGUGGUUGUGUUGGUGCACCCCGCUGCUGUGUGCCUGUAUGCGAGUCGUUCUCUCUCUCUGUGGGUGUCUUCCUUGGCUGAAGGGUGGCGCUGUUUGCGCAAGCGCGAUCGCGCACCUUGAGGAAGACGCCAGUGGUGGUGGUUGACGACCUCGCGAAGGACGUCAGAGCAUUGACUUCAUUGAUGCUGUGGCUCUUCUCUUCGUGUCUGUGUGUGUGGCCUCUCCUCCUUUCAUGCUGGCCCUCACGCCGACCCGCUGAUCGGAUAAGACACUCCGUUUGUGUCCCGCCCCUCCAUGUAUGCUGAAGCUGGAGUAGGCGAAGUAGAUGAGAAAGUCUGCGGGUUGCGGCCACGUACGCCACCAUCAGGCCGCCGGCUUACGCACUCUUGCGGUGCCGCCGCGCCCACUUGGGCUCCCUUUUCUCCACGAUGCAAGUUGCUAUGCUCGUUUGUUGGUGUCUUCGGUCGGUCGUUGCUGUUUUGGUAAUGCCGCCCCACUCACCCAGCGACCGCGCCGUGUGUGUCCGUAGAAGCCUGCGUGACCUCCACGGCUUCCACCUCUCCCUGUGUCGUGCGCUUUUGUCGUCUGCCGUCUGCCGUCUGCCGUGCACGUGCCCGGACGACCUGGAGACACCCCAGCGUGGCAUCUCAGGGUCCGGUGCCCCCUCCCCCAAAAAUCACCCCCCACUCAUUGUGGGGAGGAAGCCGAGCAGCCCCUUCGCCGUGCCAGCCACCGCGCCACUUCCGGUGGUGACAGUGUCGAGCACCUACGACGUAAGGGUGUGGGCUCCGUGCGAUUUAGCGCCACUGAGGUUGGCGGUGAGGCCGUGGGAUGGCGUUGCGUUGGAGCUGCAUGCGACCGUGAACACGUUUGCACGAUUCGUAUGAUGGGUAAAGCGUCUGCGCGACUCCAACGUACGCCACGCGGCCAUGGCUGCCUACCGGUGCCGGGAGCCUGUGCCGCGCCGAGAGGGGGGAGGGAUGCAGCACGUGCGCCCGGCAUGAUGGGGGAGCGGCUGUGAGGCGACCUGCGAGGCGGGCGGGUAGCGCUGGAGGCAGGGGCCGUGCUCCGAUGGCCGGGUCGGCAUUUUGCUGUAAGGCGUGUCCACCGGCUGCCUCGCACCACGCGAUGGGGCCUGUGACGGGCCGGGGGGAGGGGGUAGGAGUGGCGUGUCACCCUGGUUGCACGGCGGAGAACGGACACGUUGAAAAGGCCGUUCUCCUGUCGGUCUGUCGAGGUGCGCAUCGCUCUAGCGUUCUUUGCGGGUAGCGUGGCGAUGGUGGCGUUGGCGCGGAUGUCUUGCCCCGCCCGUCCCCGCUGUUACGCCGACACGGUCUUGUUUUCUUUUGUUAUUUGCUGGUGUUAUUAUCAUUGUUAUCAUUAUUUGCUCUGGCUGCCUGUUGCGUCUCUCUUUAUAAAGUGUCUUCGCCUUAAUCUCCACCCCUUAUAUAUACCCCAGCUCAUUUUUCUGGAUUCACCAGAUAUCGCCACAUGCGGGUCAGUGUGUGUGUGUGUCUCUCAGGUAUGGCUGCAAAGCCGCUGCUGGCCUCUAUCGAAGGAUUCGGAUUCGCAUUGUUGUUGGUGCCGUUGAUCUGCGUGCCGUACUUCUUCGCUGCGCACACAGAGGUAAACACACGCGCGCAUUUAUUUUUCUUUUAUAUACAGUCUCUCUAUACUACUGCGCUGCCCUGCGGAGGAGGGAGGCGCGGACGGGACGCUUGGCCGGCCCGUCCAACGCGGCGCGCGCGUUUCCUUUUCCCCUGUGUCUUCACGAUCUAUUUAUACACCCCUCAUAUGCGUUUUUUUUUCUGUUUUGCGCUUUUGUGUUUUUCGAGCAACAACAUGAGAACGUGCCCAUGGCGCAGACGCGCGUGUGCAUACGUGAGCUCCAGGAAGCCAGAGAAAGAGAGGCGGCGGCGGAAGAAGCAGCGACCGAGACUCGGCCGCAGUCGAAGCACUCGUAGCUGCCGCGCGAGCGCGCAGACACGCAUGCACGCAAGGGGUGGUUGUGUUGGUGCACCCCGCUGCUGUGUGCCUGUAUGCGAGUCGUUCUCUCUCUCUGUGGGUGUCUUCCUUGGCUGAAGGGUGGCGCUGUUUGCGCAAGCGCGAUCGCGCACCUUGAGGAAGACGCCAGUGGUGGUGGUUGACGACCUCGCGAAGGACGUCAGAGCAUUGACUUCAUUGAUGCUGUGGCUCUUCUCUUCGUGUCUGUGUGUGUGGCCUCUCCUCCUUUCAUGCUGGCCCUCACGCCGACCCGCUGAUCGGAUAAGACACUCCGUUUGUGUCCCGCCCCUCCAUGUAUGCUGAAGCUGGAGUAGGCGAAGUAGAUGAGAAAGUCUGCGGGUUGCGGCCACGUACGCCACCAUCAGGCCGCCGGCUUACGCACUCUUGCGGUGCCGCCGCGCCCACUUGGGCUCCCUUUUCUCCACGAUGCAAGUUGCUAUGCUCGUUUGUUGGUGUCUUCGGUCGGUCGUUGCUGUUUUGGUAAUGCCGCCCCACUCACCCAGCGACCGCGCCGUGUGUGUCCGUAGAAGCCUGCGUGACCUCCACGGCUUCCACCUCUCCCUGUGUCGUGCGCUUUUGUCGUCUGCCGUCUGCCGUCUGCCGUGCACGUGCCCGGACGACCUGGAGACACCCCAGCGUGGCAUCUCAGGGUCCGGUGCCCCCUCCCCCAAAAAUCACCCCCCACUCAUUGUGGGGAGGAAGCCGAGCAGCCCCUUCGCCGUGCCAGCCACCGCGCCACUUCCGGUGGUGACAGUGUCGAGCACCUACGACGUAAGGGUGUGGGCUCCGUGCGAUUUAGCGCCACUGAGGUUGGCGGUGAGGCCGUGGGAUGGCGUUGCGUUGGAGCUGCAUGCGACCGUGAACACGUUUGCACGAUUCGUAUGAUGGGUAAAGCGUCUGCGCGACUCCAACGUACGCCACGCGGCCAUGGCUGCCUACCGGUGCCGGGAGCCUGUGCCGCGCCGAGAGGGGGGAGGGAUGCAGCACGUGCGCCCGGCAUGAUGGGGGAGCGGCUGUGAGGCGACCUGCGAGGCGGGCGGGUAGCGCUGGAGGCAGGGGCCGUGCUCCGAUGGCCGGGUCGGCAUUUUGCUGUAAGGCGUGUCCACCGGCUGCCUCGCACCACGCGAUGGGGCCUGUGACGGGCCGGGGGGAGGGGGUAGGAGUGGCGUGUCACCCUGGUUGCACGGCGGAGAACGGACACGUUGAAAAGGCCGUUCUCCUGUCGGUCUGUCGAGGUGCGCAUCGCUCUAGCGUUCUUUGCGGGUAGCGUGGCGAUGGUGGCGUUGGCGCGGAUGUCUUGCCCCGCCCGUCCCCGCUGUUACGCCGACACGGUCUUGUUUUCUUUUGUUAUUUGCUGGUGUUAUUAUCAUUGUUAUCAUUAUUUGCUCUGGCUGCCUGUUGCGUCUCUCUUUAUAAAGUGUCUUCGCCUUAAUCUCCACCCCUUAUAUAUACCCCAGCUCAUUUUUCUGGAUUCACCAGAUAUCGCCACAUGCGGGUCAGUGUGUGUGUGUGUCUCUCAGGUAUGGCUGCAAAGCCGCUGCUGGCCUCUAUCGAAGGAUUCGGAUUCGCAUUGUUGUUGGUGCCGUUGAUCUGCGUGCCGUACUUCUUCGCUGCGCACACAGAGGUAAACACACGCGCGCAUUUAUUUUUCUUUUAUAUACAGUCUCUCUAUACUACUGCGCUGCCCUGCGGAGGAGGGAGGCGCGGACGGGACGCUUGGCCGGCCCGUCCAACGCGGCGCGCGCGUUUCCUUUUCCCCUGUGUCUUCACGAUCUAUUUAUACACCCCUCAUAUGCGUUUUUUUUUCUGUUUUGCGCUUUUGUGUUUUUCGAGCAACAACAUGAGAACGUGCCCAUGGCGCAGACGCGCGUGUGCAUACGUGAGCUCCAGGAAGCCAGAGAAAGAGAGGCGGCGGCGGAAGAAGCAGCGACCGAGACUCGGCCGCAGUCGAAGCACUCGUAGCUGCCGCGCGAGCGCGCAGACACGCAUGCACGCAAGGGGUGGUUGUGUUGGUGCACCCCGCUGCUGUGUGCCUGUAUGCGAGUCGUUCUCUCUCUCUGUGGGUGUCUUCCUUGGCUGAAGGGUGGCGCUGUUUGCGCAAGCGCGAUCGCGCACCUUGAGGAAGACGCCAGUGGUGGUGGUUGACGACCUCGCGAAGGACGUCAGAGCAUUGACUUCAUUGAUGCUGUGGCUCUUCUCUUCGUGUCUGUGUGUGUGGCCUCUCCUCCUUUCAUGCUGGCCCUCACGCCGACCCGCUGAUCGGAUAAGACACUCCGUUUGUGUCCCGCCCCUCCAUGUAUGCUGAAGCUGGAGUAGGCGAAGUAGAUGAGAAAGUCUGCGGGUUGCGGCCACGUACGCCACCAUCAGGCCGCCGGCUUACGCACUCUUGCGGUGCCGCCGCGCCCACUUGGGCUCCCUUUUCUCCACGAUGCAAGUUGCUAUGCUCGUUUGUUGGUGUCUUCGGUCGGUCGUUGCUGUUUUGGUAAUGCCGCCCCACUCACCCAGCGACCGCGCCGUGUGUGUCCGUAGAAGCCUGCGUGACCUCCACGGCUUCCACCUCUCCCUGUGUCGUGCGCUUUUGUCGUCUGCCGUCUGCCGUCUGCCGUGCACGUGCCCGGACGACCUGGAGACACCCCAGCGUGGCAUCUCAGGGUCCGGUGCCCCCUCCCCCAAAAAUCACCCCCCACUCAUUGUGGGGAGGAAGCCGAGCAGCCCCUUCGCCGUGCCAGCCACCGCGCCACUUCCGGUGGUGACAGUGUCGAGCACCUACGACGUAAGGGUGUGGGCUCCGUGCGAUUUAGCGCCACUGAGGUUGGCGGUGAGGCCGUGGGAUGGCGUUGCGUUGGAGCUGCAUGCGACCGUGAACACGUUUGCACGAUUCGUAUGAUGGGUAAAGCGUCUGCGCGACUCCAACGUACGCCACGCGGCCAUGGCUGCCUACCGGUGCCGGGAGCCUGUGCCGCGCCGAGAGGGGGGAGGGAUGCAGCACGUGCGCCCGGCAUGAUGGGGGAGCGGCUGUGAGGCGACCUGCGAGGCGGGCGGGUAGCGCUGGAGGCAGGGGCCGUGCUCCGAUGGCCGGGUCGGCAUUUUGCUGUAAGGCGUGUCCACCGGCUGCCUCGCACCACGCGAUGGGGCCUGUGACGGGCCGGGGGGAGGGGUAGGAGUGGCGUGUCACCCUGGUUGCACGGCGGAGAACGGACACGUUGAAAAGGCCGUUCUCCUGUCGGUCUGUCGAGGUGCGCAUCGCUCUAGCGUUCUUUGCGGGUAGCGUGGCGAUGGUGGCGUUGGCGCGGAUGUCUUGCCCCGCCCGUCCCCGCUGUUACGCCGACACGGUCUUGUUUUCUUUUGUUAUUUGCUGGUGUUAUUAUCAUUGUUAUCAUUAUUUGCUCUGGCUGCCUGUUGCGUCUCUCUUUAUAAAGUGUCUUCGCCUUAAUCUCCACCCCUUAUAUAUACCCCAGCUCAUUUUUCUGGAUUCACCAGAUAUCGCCACAUGCGGGUCAGUGUGUGUGUGUGUCUCUCAGGUAUGGCUGCAAAGCCGCUGCUGGCCUCUAUCGAAGGAUUCGGAUUCGCAUUGUUGUUGGUGCCGUUGAUCUGCGUGCCGUACUUCUUCGCUGCGCACACAGAGGUAAACACACGCGCGCAUUUAUUUUUCUUUUAUAUACAGUCUCUCUAUACUACUGCGCUGCCCUGCGGAGGAGGGAGGCGCGGACGGGACGCUUGGCCGGCCCGUCCAACGCGGCGCGCGCGUUUCCUUUUCCCCUGUGUCUUCACGAUCUAUUUAUACACCCCUCAUAUGCGUUUUUUUUUCUGUUUUGCGCUUUUGUGUUUUUCGAGCAACAACAUGAGAACGUGCCCAUGGCGCAGACGCGCGUGUGCAUACGUGAACUCCAGGAAGCCAGAGAAAGAGAGGCGGCGGAGGAAGAAGCAGCGACCGAGACUCGGCCGCAGUCGAAGCACUCGUAGCUGCCGCGCGAGCGCGCAGACACGCAUGCACGCAAGGGGUGGUUGUGUUGGUGCACCCCGCUGCUGUGUGCCUGUAUGCGAGUCGUUCUCUCUCUCUUUCGCUGUGCUUGCCUCUUGUGUGUUGGUGUGCAUCUCCGCUGCUGCAAGUUCUGUCGGUGGGGAGGGCAUGCGCAGUGCGACUGCAUCACCGAAAAGAUGAUGGUGGGACGCCGUUCAUGGGUUGCUUUUGCUUUCUUUUUUUUGUGUCCGACUGACGCAUC